rnacentral:SRP_RNA from 1 species
GCCGGGCGCGGUGGCGCGCGCCUGUAGUCCCAGCUACUCGGGAGGCUGAGGCAGGAGGAUCGCUUGAGCCCAGGAGUUCUGGGCUGUAGUGCGCUCUGCCGAUCGGGUGUCCGCACUAAGUUCAGCAUCAAUAUGGUGACCUCCCGGGAGCGGGGACCACCAGGUUGCCUAAGGAGGGGUGAACCGGCCCAGGUCGGAAACGGAGCAGGUCAAAAGCAAAAAUUUAAUAAAAAAUGGUCAAGGGGGGUGGGGCGCCUGGGUGGCUCAGUGGGUUAAGCCGCUGCCUUC